GCCAUCUUGGCAGCGCCAGUGUUGUUUCACUCCAAGGUGAGUCUUCGUGUGGGUUCUGAGGUACGGAGCCAGACAGGUCAUACAGAGUUGGCCGAAAGGCUUGCUAUUUAAGGAAAGCGUAUUCUUUUGAAUAGGGAAAGCCCACCAUCACCUAAAAUGGUGCUAUCUAAUAGAAAGUUAAUGUCAGCCACAUAGCCGCAUAAGUCACUUUUCUAGAAGCCAUGGUGCAAAAAAGUAAAACAAAGCAGAUGAAUUUAAUUUCAUAAGGUACUUAAUUUAGCCUAGUCAAUUCAAAGUAUUAUCAGUUCAACAUCUAAUCAAUAUGAACAUAUUUACAUCUUGUUUUUUUUUUUCUCCAGCCAGAAGAAGUCUCCCAUUCCCCCUCCACCUCUUCUCUCCCCUCCCUGGGACAGUUCUGACCUGGGUUACAGGAAGCCAAGGUCUGGCUGUUUGUCCAAGUUCCCUCCCAUUACCAGAAGCCUAAUGGCGGGGCUGCUGGUCCUAACUGGCUCUGUCCCUUGACGCAGAGGCCAGAAGCAGGGGUGGGACCCGAAGCGGGAAGGGGAGUCAUGUUGUUGUUUAGCACUGUCUGGGCCCAGCGAUGAAAGCCUCCAGGCCUUUGGCUGAAGAUACCACAGAAAGGGCCAGGCGUAGCCAAACUUCAGUCGUUCCUCAUCAGUGUUUCCUCAGACAGCCCUGGGCAUGGCCCUGCUGGCGGCCGGGUAACGGAGCCUUUGGCUCAGGGCCUGAUGGGAGAGAAGUUCCAGAUUCCAAAGGGGUGGAUGGAGGAAGAACAGCAUGUUCCCUUCACUCAGAGAGUAUGAGGAGGAUUCGACGCAGGUCACCUGGCUUUCAGGUCUGAGGGACAAAUCCCAGCUCCUGGGACCUGCUGGGUUUCAUUGACAAGAAGAGCAGAAGGUAAGAAACAUGGUUUACAUCUGAGCUUCUGGCCCUUCUCAUGCCCAGCUCCAUACCAGGCAUCUCUUGUGCCUGUCUACUGCUUCCUCUUCUCUCCCCUACCCCUGCCCAGAUGAGUAGUGGAUCCUCAGCUCUGCUUCUCUGUUGGCUUUUUGAGGCAGGAUCUCUUUAAGUAGUUCAGACCAGCCUUGAGCUCACUAUUUAGCCCAGGUUUGAACUCACGGCCACCCUUCUGCCUCAGCCUCCUGAAUGCUGGGAUUUACUGAACUCACGGCCACCCUUCUGCCUCAGCCUCCUGAAUGCUGGGAUUUACAGGUGGGCACCACCACGCCUGGCAGGCUCAGCCCUGUUUUAUAAGCACAUCCCCACAGACACAGACAGUCAGAAAAGGGAGGCACCCAACUCCAAGGGCAGCGUCUCCAGCCCAGGGACUUUGAAAAAUGACUGAGAGAGUGUCUAAACUCGUAAAUGUUCUUGGCUAAUUAAGAUGAAGGGAAAUUUUGGUUUUCCUUUGUAAUCGGUGGACCCUAAAAUAGGCAAA
rnacentral:lncRNA from 1 species